rnacentral:rRNA from 1 species
AUGCCAUCAAUGCUACGAACUAAUCUUGUUUCUAUUAUGAUGAAAUGUACCCAAAUCUACCAGCCUGAUGACAAGGCAUCAACUCAAAACAAGAGCAAGGACGGUGGAGAUGGGGAUUCACUUAGGGAUUUUUCUCCGGAGAGUGCAGCGGCGAUGAGGCCAUUCCGGCUGGCAUCCCCACCGGCAAAAUGGGAACUGGCCGAGAGCUUGUCGAGUCAGCGUGUGGCGGAGGAUGGAAGGAGUGCGUGCGGCGGAUGGACUGGGGGGAGGAAGAGCGCCGCCCUGGUGACUUCCGCGGUUCGUCCGGCGGCCGCUAGGGUUUCCGUCAUCCCCAAUUCCGCAGGUUGCGACAUCAACAAAAGGCGCUGUACCUCUGUUGGUGGCAUGUAA